UUUCUGCCACCGAAUACAUUAGCAUGGGAUAAUGGAAUAGGACCCUGUCCUCCUAUUUUCAGUUGGUUUUGGCAGCGCGAGGACUAGGGUAAUGAUUAAUAGGGAUAGUUGGGGGCAUUAAUAUUUAAUUGUCAGAGGUGAAAUUCUUGGAUUUAUGAAAGAUUAACUUCUGCGAAAGCAUCUGCCAAGGAUGUUUUCAUUAAUCAAGAACGAAAGUUAGGGGAUCGAAGACGAUCAGAUACCGUCGUAGUCUUAACCAUAAACGAUGCCGACCAGCGAUUAGGAGACGUUGAAUACAAAACACCACCAUCGGUGCGGUCGUCCUUGGCGUCGGUCUUUCGGGGCCGGCGCGGGGACGGCUUAGCCCGGUGGCACCGGUGAAUGACUCCCUA
rnacentral:rRNA from 1 species